rnacentral:lncRNA from 1 species
AGUACAUGAGCGCAGGCCCAAGAUCCGAAAGGGAAAGUCCUGAACGCCCCCUUCCCCCUGUCUUUUCGGCGGGGCUUUGGGAGUUUGCAGGGUGUUCUGAGUGUUUGGGCCUCAGGGAUUCUCACCUCCGGGAGAUUCCAGGAGCUGUAGGGGGUGGAAUGCGAGUAGGAGGAGAGAUGGAUAUCGUGGCCUGCUGAUGGUUUUGGAGCCCAGGUCCAGACAUUUCUUGAUUGAAGUAGACAUUCAAGAAGUGUGAAAUGCACAGUCAGAAAAUCUGGGACUUCUCUUUUUCCUUGUCAGAAUCAGGAUUGAAAAAUGAUUCAGCGGGGAAUAGCUUCUUUACAGUGAGAGCCCGUGUUAUUGAUUUUUGUGUCUGUAUACAACCUAAAAGAAUGGAGGCGUGUGUCCCUCUCUUUCGGAAAUAAUGAUAUCAUCCAUGUGUAAUUAAUUAUGUGGGGCCCAUGUUGGAAGACUGUGUAGCCAGCUCUUGGCUGUCGAAGCACUGACUACAUGGAUUUAACCUGCCAUUGACAGUGGCGCCAUUUUUCUGGUCCUCCAGAGGAACAUAAACCUGUCCAUUUUACUCAUCUUGAAGGAGUUUUGGCAAAACAUGUAUUAGGGCAGAAAAUGAAACCUCACUAGAGCUCCCUUUGCACUGGAAGGCUGGAGGAAUUUCGUGGACUUGGAGGCUCUGCCCUGUGCUCCACGGCCACAAGCCCUUAAGUGUUGUCUCCACAGCAUUUGCAUUUGCUGUCCUCAAAGCCCCGCUCCUCCCUCUCCCGUCGCUGUCCUCAAAGCCCCGCUCCUCCCUCUCCCGUCGCUGUCCUCAAAGACCCACUCCUCCCUCUCCCAUACACGAUUUUGAGCUAUAUCCUUAAUAUCCAGGUUCCUUUGUGUUUCCUGGUAAUGGGUAGAAGUGCAAGGGGAUUUCAGCUCCCAAGAGACAGGGUUUCCCCGUGCCUAAGACCCCAGGGUUGAUGCUACUCUGUCAUCAAGUGGUGACUGUGACUCUUCCCCCCGCAACCUCAGGAGGUUUUUUUGGACUUCAUCCCAGAUCCUGAGCUGGAGCUGGUCCUGGGAUGCAGAGCGUGCCUGUCCUAGUGAACUGAAGUGUCUCCAAAAGGGUUCCUGAAAACAGAACAAAGUUGCCCAGCCAGGCACGCAGGCCAGGGCAGGAAACUGGCCUUGGGGCCACCUCCGCUCAGGAUGGGGUGGAGGCAAACAGACUUGUGCGUCAUCCUUCACAAAGAAGGUUCUCUCAGAUAUUUGGAUUUCCUUGAGGAGCCCUCAAAGCAAUAAAAUAAUAUGUCCUUCAGACUGAGAACACUGACCGUGUCUGCAAGGCAGAGUGGGGCGCCGCAUGAGGUCUGCAUCUCAGAGGCUCCAGGCAGGAGUCUGGCUCUACUUGUUUUUCAGAGUAUUCUCUGGGAGGCACACACCUUUCCCAUUUUCUGGUGUGCCCAGCAAUAGGACGUCGUGUUAUCUUUCCUGAGGGUCGGACAGACGUUCGCUUGUGAGGGUAGGAUCCUGCUCCCUUCAUAGUAAGCAGAAAAUCCAGUCAUAUUGCACUAUGGGGGCCCAAUCUUUUUCUACUUUGGUGAAAUGUCCUGAAUCUCACCUCUGAGAAUACCUUUCUUGCUGUGUCCUGGCAUAGCUUCCUGAAACUGUCGGAAGAGGUCUUUUAUUCCUUAUUGAUAAUCUGGAAAUAGGGCUCUUUUGAAAACCUUUUUUUGUUUUUCCAAAGGAAAAAAAAAACCCAAAGAAGAUAAAACACUGAAUUAAAAAGAAAUAGACUCUUUGUGGCCGUCUAUAUUUUCCAAGGUUUCAUGUUUUUAACAAUGAAUAUGUAUUAUUUUGCAAUCGGAUACAAGCUGGGCUUUGUUUGUAAUUGACAACAGAGGGCUAUCAGCCCAGCUACCACUGGAAGCAGAGUGGUAUUUCAGAGUUUGUUCUCUCUCCCCACCACCUUUGGGGCGUCUGCUUCAUGUAAUUCCCACCCAGAAGCUCCCCUAAUGAGGGGUGCUCAUUCAAGGUCUCCCACAAGGAACAAAGCAUUUUCACAUUUUCCAAAGUCCGUUUCAUUGUUGAAAUAUUGUAAUAGAAAGCAGGAUAUAUUUGCACUGUAAUUUUAGAGCAAUUUUGGAAGUAGAAACAUUUUGUG